rnacentral:rRNA from 1 species
GACGUAGGGGGCCAGCGUUGCUCGGAAUUACUGGGCGUAAAGGGUUCGUAGGCGGUGCGGUAUGUCGGGAGUGAAAUCUCUGGGCUUAACUCAGAGGCUGCUUCCGAAACUGCCGUGCUCGAGUGCGGGAGAGGCGAGUGGAAUUACAGGUGUAGCGGUGAAAUGCGUAGAUAUCGUGAGGAAUACCAGAGGCGAAGGCGGCUACCUGGACAAUUGCUGACGCUCAGGCACGAAAGCGUGGGGAGCAAAAGGG